AUUGAACGCAGGCGGCAGGCCUAACACAUGCAAGUCGGACGGUAGCACAGAGGAGCUUGCUCCUCGGGUGACGAGUGGCGGACGGGUGAGUAAUGUCUGGGAAACUGCCCGAUGGAGGGGGAUAACUACUGGAAACGGUAGCUAAUACCGCAUAACGUCGCAAGACCAAAGUGGGGGACCUUCGGGCCUCACACCAUCGGAUGUGCCCAGAUGGGAUUAGCUGGUAGGCGGGGUAACGGCCCACCUAGGCGACGAUCCCUAGCUGGUCUGAGAGGAUGGCCAGCCACACUGGAACUGAGACACGGUCCAGACUCCUACGGGAGGCAGCAGUGGGGAAUAUUGCACAAUGGGCGCAAGCCUGAUGCAGCCAUGCCGCGUGUAUGAAGAAGGCCUUCGGGUUGUAAAGUACUUUCAGCGGGGAGGAAGGUGCUGAGGUUAAUAAGCUCAGCAAUUGACGUUACCCGCAGAAGAAGCACUGGCUAACUCCGUGCCAGCCGCCGCAGUAA
rnacentral:rRNA from 1 species